AAUCAACAGUUUGUUUUAUUUUAGCAUUUUUACUGCCAUCAAGCGGCCUCUCUGAGGACCUGCAGCUCUGAGAGAAGCCUGAAGGUGUCCGUGUAGACGCCUGAUCAAAAACUGUCCUGUUAUAUGCCAAGUUGUCACACGAGGGAAAGGAAUCAAUUACAACGAGGAGUCUCCUUAAUCCCAGAGAGAACCAGGCGAGGACGGUGAACGCAGUCCUUCAUUUUGUUAACUCCACAGAAUUACAUCUUUGGAAGUAGGAAUGGUCUGAAUUCUGCAUUCUCACCCUGACCUGUGAGAGGCAGCAAUGUGCCGCAAGGCAUCCAGCCUGUCGGAAAUGUAUAAGAAGAAGAAGAAGAAGGAAAAAGGGGAAAAACUGUCCCAGCUGCUGUUUUACAUCCAUUGAUAGAGACGGACAGAAAUCUAACCUGCUGCUGUUUUACGGACAUUGGAGGUGAUCGAUUCCGUUAAAGAGUAAAAAAGGAACAACAUGAACGAAUAUGUUCAGCAGCAGCGGACUGGAAAUGUGUGUUUGGAGGAAAAAGUGCAGAAGAAACGCCUCCAUCAGCCGCAGGACGUCGUUCUGAAGCAAACCGCUGUGUCUCCUCCAGAUGUCCAACAGCUGUUGGUAAUUAAAGAAGAGGUUCCUGAUGAAUGGAGCUCCAGUCCAAACCAGGAGGACCUAGAUACCCUCCACAUAAAGGAGGAACAGGAGGAACUCUGGGCCAGUCAGGAGGGAGAGCAGCUUAAUGGGCAGAAAGACACUGAUAUCAACAGGUUAACAUUCACUGCUGUUGUUGUGAAGAGUGAAAAUGAUGAAGAGAAACCCCAGUCCUCACCACUUCAUCAGAGCCAAUAUGAAGACAUCAAUGAGGCAAUAAGCAGCUCAGCUACACAGAUGAUAACGGAACGUGAUGGAGAGGGGUGUGGAAAACCAAAACCAGCCGAAAACCGAGAUCCAAACAAUAAUUCACAACUAAAUACUAAUGGAAAAUCUUCAGACUCUUCUGAGAGUAGUGUCAUUAAUGAUGACGAUGAUGAUAAGGAGGAGCUGCAGGACGACGAGUGGCAGGAACCUUUGUCAGAUUCUGAAUCUGACACUGAAGACAGUGACAGUGAUUGGAAGGAAACCAGAUCACCUGAAUCAGGUGUAAAUAGUAAUGCAGGAUGUGAGACUGACAAAAAACUCUUUAGCUGCUCCGAGUGUGACAAACAAUUUCUUCACAAGCGUUCUCUUCAGAGACACAUGGUAGCUCAUUCAGGAGAAAAGUCUUCCAGACAUUCAGCUAAUGAGAAAACCUGUAGAAUGAAGCAAAAUGUAGAAUCACAGACGAGUGCACAGAAAGGAGAAAGACCAUUUGUUUGUGAUGUUUGUGGUAAAAGCUUUACUCGUCAAUGUAACCUUAAUCGACACAAAAAAGUCCACACAGGAGAGAAACCAUUUAGUUGUGACGUUUGUAGUAAAAAAUUUUCACGGCCAGAGGAGCUGAAGACUCACACUCGAAUCCACACAGGAGAAAAACCAUUUGGCUGUGAUGUUUGUGGUAAAAGAUUCAACCAGAAAAUCCAUAUUAAGAGACACAUGAGAGUUCACACAGGAGAGAAACCAUUCGGCUGUGAUGUUUGUGGUAAAAGAUUUAUGUGGAAAGUGUAUUAUGAGACUCACAUGAGAGUCCACACAGAAGAGGAUUCAUUUGGUUGUGAUGCUUGUGGUAAAAGAUUUCCACGGGAAGUGGAUCUAAAGAUACACACAAGAGUCCACACAGGAGAAAAACCUUUCGAAUGUACGACUUGUGGUAAAACAUUUAUGUGGGAGACAAGUUUUAAGACUCACAUGAGAAUGCACACUGGAGAAAAGCCAUUCACUUGCAAUGUUUGUGGUAAAAGAUUUAGUCAGAAGGUACAUUUCAAGACACAUACAAGAGUCCACACAGGAGAGAAACCAUUUAAUUGUAGUGUUUGUGGUAAAAGAUUUAUGGGGAAGACAAGCUUUAAAACUCACAUGAGAAUCCACACUGGAGAGAAGCCGUUUGAUUGUGGUGUUUGUGGAAAAAGAUUUAAUCAGAAGAUACAUCUUAAGAAACAUAUGAAAGUCCAUGCAGAGGAGAGACCAUUUGGCUGUGACGUUUGUGGACAAAGAUUUAAUCGAAAGGCGCAUCUUGAGAGACACAUGUUUGUCCAUUCAGGAGAGAAACCAUUUGGCUGUGAUGUGUGUGGGAAUAAGUUUACACGACUGGAAAGUCUGAAGAGACACAUGAGCAGCCACACAGGAGAGAAACCAGUUGAUUGCGGGAAAAAAGUUCCAUCUCAGGAAAAUCAGAAAACACAAGUGGGGUCUGUCGUCCUGUCCCUUAGCAUCCCACUAACUCGAGUUAAGGUGGAUGAAAAACUGGAGACCAAACUUCUGGGCUCCCAUCAGCCACAGAAUGAUGUUAUCAACCAAACCCCUGAUGUCCAGCAACUACUGGUGAUUAAAGACGAAGUUCCGCAUGAAUUGGGUCCCAGUCUGGACCGACAGGACAUAGAGCCCCUUUGCAUAAAGGAGGAACAAGAAGAACUGUGGACCAGUCGAGAGAGAGAGCAGCUUAAUGGGCAGGAGGAGCUUGAUAUCACUGCUGUUUCUGUGAAAAGUGAAGAUGAUGAAGAGAAACCUCAGUCCUCACAGCUUUAUCAGAGCCAAAAUGAAGACAACAGCGAGACAGAGCCUCCGAUCAGCAGCUCAACUGAACAAUUGAAAACAGAAAAUGAUGGAGGUGACUAUGGACUACCAGAACCAGCCAGGAACUCAGAUCCAAAUAGUCAUUUACAACCAAGUACUGAUGAAAAGUUUUCAGACUCAUCUAGGACUGAAGUCAGUAAUAAUGAUGAUGAUGAGGAUUAUUGGCAGGAACCUGUGCCUGAAGACCAUGACAAUGACUGGAAGAAGACCAGAACACCUGAGUCAGGUGCAAAUACUGAUGUGGUAUCUAACACUGACAAAACAACCUUUGGCUGCUCUUCCAGCUGUUCAGUUAGUAAGAAAUGCUUGAAAGUGGGACAAAAUGUUGGUUCACAGAUGACAGACCACACAGCAGUGAGACAAUAUGACUGUGAUGUUUGUGGCCAAAAAUUUACACGCCAUUAUAAUCUUAAUAGACACAAAAGAGUUCACACUGGAGAGAAACCAUUUGGUUGUGAUGUUUGCAGUAAAAGAUUUUCACAACCAGGGGAUCUGGAAAGACAUAAGAGUGUCCACACAGGAGAGAAACCAUUUAGCUGUGAUGUGUGUGGGAAUAAGUUUGCACGACUGGAAAGUCUGAAGAGACACAUGAGCAGCCACUCAGGAGAGAAACCAGUUGACUGCGGGAAAAAAGUUCCAUCUCUGGAAAAUCUGAAAACACAAGUGGGGUCUGUCAUCCUGUCCCUUAGCAUCCCACUAACUCGAGUUAAAGUGGAUGAAAAACUGGAGACCAAACUUCUGGGCUCCCAUCAGCCACAGAAUGAUGCUAUCAACCAAACCCCUGAUGUCCAGCAAUUAUUGGUGAUUAAAGACGAAGUUCCCCAUGAAUUGGGUCCCAGUCUGGACCGACAGGACAUAGAGAACCUUUGCAUAAAGGAGGAACAAGAAGAACUGUGGACCAGUCGAGAGAGAGAGCAGCUUAAUGGGCAGGAGGAGCUUGAUAUCACUGCUGUUCCUGUGAAAAGUGAAGAUGAUGAAGAGAAACCUCAGUCCUCACAGCUUUAUCAGAGCCAAAAUGAAGACAACAGCGAGACAGAGCCUCCGAUCAGCAGCUCAACUGAACAACUGAAACCAGAAAGUGAUGGAGGUGACUAUGGACUACCAGAACCAGCCAGGAACUCAGAUCCAAAUAGUCAUUUACAACCAAGUACUGAUGGAAAGUUUUCAGACUCAUCUAGGACUGAAGUCAGUAAUAAUGAUGAUGAUGAGGAUUAUUGGCAGGAACCUGUGCCUGAAGACCAUGACAAUGACUGGAAGAAGACCAGAGCACCUGAGUCAGGUGCAAAUACUGAUGUGGUAUCUAACACUGACAAAACAACCUUUGGCUGCUCUUCCAGCUGUUCAGUUAGUAAGAAAUGCUUGAAAGUGGGACAAAGUGUUGAUUCACAGAUGACAGACCACACAGGAGUGAGACAGUAUGACUGUGAUGUUUGUGGCCAAAAAUUAACAUGCCAUUAUAAUCUUAAUAGACACAAAAGAGUUCACACAGGAGAGAAACCAUUUGGUUGUGAUGUUUGCAGUAAAAAAUUUUCACAACCAGGGGAUUUGGAAAGACAUAAGCGUGUCCACACAGGAGAGAAACCAUUUAGCUGUGAUGUGUGUGGGAAUAGGUUUGCACGACUGGAAAGUCUGAAGAGACACAUGAGCAGCCACACAGGAGAGGAGCCAUUUGAUUGUGGUAGAAAAGUUCCAUCUCUGGAAAAUCUGAAAACACAAGUUGGGUCUGUCGUCCUGUCCCUUAGCAUCCCACUAACUCGAGUUAAGGUGGAUGAAAAACUGGAGACCUUACUUCUGGACUCCCAUCAGCCACAGAAUGAUGUUAUCAACCAAACCCCUGAUGUCCAGCAACUAUUGGUGAUUAAAGACGAAGUUCCCCAUGGAUUGGGUCCCAGUCUGGACCGACAGGACAUAGAGCCCCUUUGCAUAAAGGAGGAACAAGAAGAACUGUGGACCAGUCGAGAGAGAGAGCAGCUUAAUGGGCAGGAGGAGCUUGAUAUCACUGCUGUUCCUGUGAAAAGUGAAGAUGAUGAAGAGAAACCUCAGUCCUCACAGCUUUAUCAGAGCCAAAAUGAAGACAACAGCGAGACAGAGCCUCCGAUCAGCAGCUCAACUGAACAACUGAAACCAGAAAGUGAUGGAGGUGACUAUGGACUACCAGAACCAGCCAGGAACUCAGAUCCAAAUAGUCAUUUACAACCAAGUACUGAUGGAAAGUUUUCAGACUCAUCUAGGACUGAAGUCAGUAAUAAUGAUGAUGAGGAUUAUUGGCAGGAACAUGCACCUGAAGACCAUGACAAUGACUGGAAGAAGACCAGAGCACCUGAGUCAGUUGCAAAUACUGAUGUGUUAUCUAACACUGACAAAAAAACCUUUGGCUGCUCUUCCAGCUGUUCAGUUAGUCAGAAAUGUUUGAAAAUGGGACAAAAUGUUGAUUCACAGAUGACAGACUACACAGGAGUGAGACAAUAUGACUGUGAUGUUUGUGGCCAAAAAUUUACACGCCAUUAUAAUCUUAAUAGACACAAAAAAGUUCACACUGGAAAGAAACCAUUUGGUUGUGACCUUUGUAGUAAAAGAUUUUCACGACCAGAGGAUCUGAAGACUCACAUGAGACGCCACACUGGAGAGAAACCAUUCAAAUGUAAUUUGUGUGGUAAAGGGUUUAACCGGAAAAUCCACAUUAAAAAACACAUGACUGUCCACUCAGGAGAGAAACCAGUCGAUGAUGAUGAAGGAUUUAUACCUCAGGAAAAUCUGAUGAGACAUGUGGAGGUUUUUGCUCUGUCACUUAACAUCCCACCAGCUCCAGCUAAACUGGAAGAAAAACUGGAGGUUGCAUCCCUUCAGUCACAGGAUAGUAUCAACCAAACUCCUGUGCUGCCUGCAGAUGUUCAGCAGCUGUUGGUGAUUAAAGAGGAAGUUCCCCAUGAAUGGAACUCCAGACAGCAGGACCCAGAGUUCCUCCACAUAAAGGAGGAACAGGAGGAGUUCUGGGCCAGUCAGGGUGGAGAGCAUUUAAAUGGACAGAAGGAGAAUGACAAUACAAGAUUCCAGUUCACUGCUUUUAAAAGUGGAGAUGAUAAAGAGAUUUCUCAGUCCUCACAACUUCAUCAGAGUCAAACUGUUGACAACAGAAAGAUAGAGUCUCCAAUGAGCAGCUCAGCAAAACAGAUGAAAACAGGAAGUGAUGGAGAGGCGUGUGGAAGACCAGAACCAGCAAAGAACCCAGAUCCAAAUGGUCACAUAAAACCAAAUACUGAUGGAAAGUCUUCAGCGUCUCCUGAGACUGAAGUCGAUGGCACUAAUAAUGAUGAUGAGUGGCAGGAGCCUUUGUCUGAUUCUGGACCUGAAACCGAAGACCACGACAAUGAUAAGAAAAAGAUCAGGGCAACUGAAUCAGGUGUAAAUAGUGAUGUGCAAUGUAACACUGACAAAAAGCCCUUUAGUUGCUCUGAGUGUGGUAAACAGUUUACCUACAAGCAGUCUCUACAGAGACACAUGCAGUGUCAUUCAGCAAAAAGGUCAUCCAUCUUUUUGGUUUGGAAGAAAUGGUUUAGAAUGAAACAAAAAGAUCUGCAGAUGAGAGCUCACAUAGGAGAUAAAUCCUUUGGUUGUCAUGUUUGUGGUAAAAGACUUCAGCAUCAACAUAAUCUAAAAAUACACAUGAAGCUUCACACAAGAGAGAAACCAUUUGGUUUUGAUGUUUGUGGACAAAGAUUUACCCGAAACACAUAUCUGCAGACACAUACGACAAUUCACACAGGAGAAAAACUGUUUAGUUGUCACAUAUGUAAAAAAGGUUUCCGAGAUCAGUAUAAUCUUAAUAGACACAUGAGCGCCCACUCUGGAGAGAAACCCUUCAGUUGUAAAAUUUGUAAAAAAACAUUUAGAUAUCAGUCUAAUCUUGAUAGACACACAAGAGUCCACACAGGAGAGAAAUCCUUUGGUUGCAAUGUUUGUGGUAAAAAAUUUAAGCAUCAGUAUUAUCUAAACACACACAUGAAGCUUCACACUGGAGAGAAGUCCUUGAGUUGUAAAAUUUGCAAAAAAACAUUUACACAUCGGUAUAAUCUUGAUAGACACACAAGAGUCCACACAGGAGAGAAACCAUAUGGUUGUGAUGUUUGCAGUAAAAGAUUUUCACAACCAGGGGAUCUGGAAAGACACAAGAGUGUCCACACAGGAGAGAAACCAUUUAGCUGUAGUGUUUGUGGUAAAAGAUUUGUGUUGAAGACAGGCUUUAAAACUCACAUGAGAAUCCACACUGGAGAGAAGCCAUUUGAUUGUGGUGUUUGUGGAAAAAGAUUUAAUCGAAAGGAGCAUCUUGAGAGACACGCAUUUGUCCAUUCAGGAGAGAAACCAUUUGGUUGUGAUGUGUGUGGGAAUAAGUUUACACGACUGGAACGUCUGAAGAGACACGUGAGCAGCCACACAGGAGAAAAACCAGUUGACUGCGGGAAAAAAGUUCCAUCUCUGGAAAAUCUGAAAACACAAGUUGGGUCUGUCGUCCUGUCCCUUAGCAUCCCACUAACUCGAGUUAAGGUGGAUGAAAAACUGGAGACCAAACUUCUGGGCUCCCAUCAGCCACAGAAUGAUGUUAUCAACCAAACCCCUGAUGUCCAGCAACUAUUGGUGAUUAAAGACGAAGUUCCCCGUGAAUUGGGUCCCAGUCUGGACCGACAGGACAUAGAGCCCCUUUGCAUGAAGGAGGAACAAGAAGAACUGUGGACCAGUCGAGAGAGAGAGCAGCUUAAUGGGCAGGAGGAGCUUGAUAUCACUGCUGUUCCUGUGAAAAGUGAAGAUGAUGAAGAGAAACCUCAGUCCUCACAGCUUUAUCAGAGCCAAAAUGAAGACAACAGCGAGACAGAGCCUCCGAUCAGCAGCUCAACUGAACAACUGAAACCAGAAAGUGAUGGAGGUGACUAUGGACUACCAGAACCAGCCAGGAACUCAGAUCCAAAUAGUCAUUUACAACCAAGUACUGAUGGAAAGUUUUCAGACUCAUCUAGGACUGAAGUCAGUAAUAAUGAUGAUGAGGAUUAUUGGCAGGAACAUGCACCUGAAGACCAUGACAAUGACUGGAAGAAGACCAGAGCACCUGAGUCAGGUGCAAAUACUGAUGUGGUAUCUAACACUGACAAAAAAACCUUUGGCUGCUCUUCCAGCUGUUCAGUGAGUAAGAAAUGUUUGAAAGUGGGACAAAAUGUUGAUUCACAGAUGACAGACCACACAGGAGUGAGACAAUAUGACUGUGAUGUUUGUGGCCAAAAAUUUACACGCCAUUAUAAUCUUAAUAGACACAAAAGAGUUCACACUGGAGAGAAACCAUUUAGUUGUGACCUUUGUAGUAAAAGAUUUUCACGACCAGAGGAUCUGAAGACUCACAUGAGAUGCCACACUGGAGAGAAACCAUUCAAAUGUAAUUUGUGUGGUAAAGGGUUUAACCGGAAAAUCCACAUUAAAAACACAUGACUGUCCACUCAGGAGAGAAACCAGUCGAUGAUGAUGAAGGAUUUAUACCUCAGGAAAAUCUGAUGAGACAUGUGGAGGUUUUUGCUCUGUCACUUAACAUCCCACCAGCUCCAGCUAAACUGGAAGAAAAACUGGAGGUUGCAUCCCUUCAGUCACAGGAUAGUAUCAACCAAACUCCUGUGCUGCCUGCAGAUGUUCAGCAGCUGUUGGUGAUUAAAGAGGAAGUUCCCCAUGAAUGGAACUCCAGCCAGCAGGACCCAGAGUUCCUCCACAUAAAGG